rnacentral:rRNA from 1 species
GACGAACGCUGGCGGCGUGCUUAACACAUGCAAGUCGAACGGAAAGGCCCUGCUUUUGUGGGGUGCUCGAGUGGCGAACGGGUGAGUAACACGUGAGUAACCUGCCCUUGACUUUGGGAUAACUUCAGGAAACUGGGGCUAAUACCGGAUAGGAGCUCCUGCUGCAUGGUGGGGGUUGGAAAGUUUCGGCGGUUGGGGAUGGACUCGCGGCUUAUCAGCUUGUUGGUGGGGUAGUGGCUUACCAAGGCUUUGACGGGUAGCCGGCCUGAGAGGGUGACCGGCCACAUUGGGACUGAGAUACGGCGCAGACUCCUACGGGAGGCAGCGGUCGGGAAUAUUGCACAAUGGGCGGAAGCCUGAUGCAGCAACGCCGCGUGCGGGAUGACGGCCUUCGGGUUGUAAACCGCUUUCGCCUGUGACGAAGAGUGAGUGACGGUAAUGGGUAAAGAAGCACCGGCUAACUACGUG